AGACCUUUAGUUUGAACCCCGAAACCAGGUGAGCUACCCCGAGACAGCCUAUAUUGAUUUAGGGCUAACCCGUCUCUGUGGCAAAAGAGUGGGAAGAGCUCCGGGUAGAAGUGACAGACCUACCGAACCUGGUGAUAGCUGGUUGCCUGAGAAGUGGAUAGAAGUUCAGCCUCGCACACCCCAAGCCAGAGAAUACACCGCUAAGGCACUCAGGGAAAUGUGGGAGAGUUAGUUAAAGGGGGUACAGCCCCUUUAACAAAGGAUACAACCUUUGCAGGAGGAUAAAGAUCAUAAUAUAAAAAACAUGCUGCUCUAGUGGGCCUAAAGGCAGCCACCUAAACAGAAAGCGUUAAAGCUCAGGCAGAAAGAAGUUUAUUAUACCGAUAAAAAAUCUUACUCCCCUAAUUAUAUCAGGCCAACCCAUGCCAACAUGGAAGAGAUUAUGCUAAAAUGAGUAACAAGAAGACCUGCUCUUCUCCCAGCACAAGUGUAAGCCAGAUCGGACUAACCACUGGAACUUAACGAACCCAACCCAAGAGGGUAGUGUGAAUAGUACAGACCCCAAGAAGAACUCACAACUAAACAAUCGUUAACCCCACACUGGAGUGCUAUUAUAAAGGAAAGACUAAAAGAGGGGGAAGGAACUCGGCAAACACAAGCCUCGCCUGUUUACCAAAAACAUCGCCUCCUGCAACUAUAUUGAGUAUAGGAGGUCCAGCCUGCCCAGUGACUACGGGUUCAACGGCCGCGGUAUUUUGACCGUGCAAAGGUAGCGCAAUCACUUGUCUCUUAAAUAGAGACCUGUAUGAAUGGCUAGACGAGGGCUUAACUGUCUCCCCCCUCCAGUCAGUGAAAUUGAUCUAUCCGUGCAGAAGCGGGUAUAAUUAUACAAGACGAGAAGACCCUUUGGAGCUUAAGGUACAAAAUCCAACCACGUUAAACGACCCCCUAAAGGGCAAGAACUUAGUGGCCAAUGAAGUUUUACCUUCGGUUGGGGCGACCACGGAGGAGAAAAAAGCCUCCGAGUGGACUGGGUUAAAACCCAAAGCUAAGAGAUACAUCUCUAAGCCGCAGAACAUCUGACCAAAAGUGAUCCGGCUAAAAAGCCGAUCAACGAACCAAGUUACCCUAGGGAUAACAGCGCAAUCCUCUCCCAGAGUCCAUAUCGACGAGGGGGUUUACGACCUCGAUGUUGGAUCAGGACAUCCUAAUGGUGCAGCCGCUAUUAAGGGU
rnacentral:rRNA from 1 species